rnacentral:lncRNA from 1 species
GAUAAGAACAAAAAUAGUGAUUUCAAGAAUACAAAAUGGAAAUCAUCCACAAAAUCAAAAGAAGCACUCAUUUUCUGCUAAUUACGCGAUAGUUCAGGCCACAUUGCCAAGAACUGUCGUCGAGGGAUCAAGGCUUCCGCUGCCAUAAUAGAUGAUGGUGAAGAAGAUACUGGUUGUCCGGAAGAGGCAAGUGGUUGCUGGUUACUUGAUUAUGGUGCAACGAAUCACAUGUCUCCAGAUCUGGAUAAAUUCU